rnacentral:rRNA from 1 species
CCUACGGGUGGCAGCAGUGAGGAAUAUUGGUCAAUGGGCGCAAGCCUGAACCAGCCAAGCCGCGUGAAGGAUGACGGCCCUACGGGUUGUAAACUUCUUUUGUAAAGGAAUAAAGUCAGGCACGUGUGCCUGUUUGAAUGUACUUUAAGAAUAAGGAUCGGCUAACUCCGUGCCAGCAGCCGCGGUAAUACGGAGGAUCCGAGCGUUAUCCGGAUUUAUUGGGUUUAAAGGGUGCGUAGGGGGGUUGUUAAGUCAGCUGUGAAAGUCUGCGGCUCAACCGUAAAAUUGCAAUUGAUACUGGCAGUCUUGAGUACAGUUGAGGUAGGCGGAAUGCGUGGUGUAGCGGUGAAAUGCUUAGAUAUCACGAAGAACUCCGAUUGCGAAGGCAGCUUACCAAACUGCCACUGACAUUGAGGCACGAAAGUGUGGGUAUCAAACAGGAUUAGAUACCCGGGUAGUC